rnacentral:lncRNA from 1 species
GGGAGUGUAGAGGGCUGCUUGCUGGCUACACAUGGGCUUGCAUUCUUCAAGCCAUUCAUUCAGCAAGUACUUACUAAGCUGCUACUAUAUGCCAGGCACCCAUCUAGGCACUGGGGAUAUAGCAGGAAAGAAAUCCUCUUCAAGGAACUUCAAAUGUGACCAUUUGACAUGAAAUGUGUCAUGAUGGGAAUAGAGCACCGGCUUAGAAAGGGCUCUUGUGCCUGAGGGGCUGGUGAGGUGAAGAGAAACUUUCUGGGGGAGAGAAUUACGGGGCCAAGCCCUGGGCCUGAGAAGGGGUCUCUUGGUGAACAGAGGCAGGGAAUAAGAGGGGGAAGCAAGGUAAGACCAUCUGGGACAGUGUGGCAUGGGGAGGGAACAGGUGACCAGACAGGUGGCAGGACCUCAUCCCACUGGAUGCUCUGCUGGUGCCUUUGCCUGAAGUGCAGUUUGCCACGGAUCAGAUCCAAGCUACAGUUGCGAUCUGUGCUACAGUUGGGUCAAUGCCGAAUCCUUAACCCAGCUGGAGAAUUGAAACUGCGUCCCAGCACUCCAGAGAUGCCACCCAUCCGACUGCACCACAGUGGGUAUUCUGAGUUUUUUCUAAAUUUCCCUUAAAAACACGCUUGUUUAAAUUAAAGUGCUUAUUAUAAUUAUAUAUAAAAUAACAUAUCAUCAUAGUUGAAUAUUUGGAAGAUAUAAAGUGGCAUGAAGAAUUAAAAUUUAUUCAUAAUUCAUAAUUCCACCAUCCAGGAAAGCUUCCUUCCUUUGAGCUCUCCUUUUUACCAUUCUAUUAAAAAACCUACAUGGGGAGUUCCCGUCAUAGUGCAGUGGUUAACGAAUCCAACUAGGAACCAUGAGGUUGGGGGUUCGAUCCCUGGCCUCGCUCAGUGGGUUGGGGAUCCGGCAUUGCCAUGGGCUGUGGUGUAGGUCAUAGAUGCAGCUUGGAUCUGGCAUUGCUGUGGCCAUGGUGUAGGCCAGCAGCUAUAGCUCCGAUUAGACCCCUAGCCUGGGAACCUCCAUAUGCCACGGGUGUGGCCCUAAAAAGACAAAAAGACCAAAAAUAAAUAAAUAAAUAAAUAAAUAAAUAAAAUAAUAAAAAAAUUAUAAACCCACAUGGAAGUUCCCAUGUGGUGCAGUAGAUUAAGGAUCCGGCAUUGCCGCAGCUGUGGCACAAGCUGUAACUGCAGCAUGAGUUUGAUUCCUGGCCUGGGAACUUCCACAGGUGCAGCCAAAAAACCCCAAACGAAACAACCAAAACCCUAUAUAUAUAUAUACAUAUGUAAAUAAAAACAUAAACUUUAGCCACUAUUUUGUGUCCUAUUUUUUCAUCUAUGAUUACAUUGUGAACAUUUUUUGUCAUCAAAUAUUCUUUUUCUUUUUUUUUUUUUCCCUGCUUCUUUAGGGCUGCACCCGCGUCAUAUGGAAGUUCCCAGGCUAGGGGUUAAAUUGCAGCUCUAGCUGCUGUCCUGUGCCACAGCCAUAGCAAUGCCAGAUCUGAGCCACAACUGCGACCUAUAGUGCAGCUCACGGCAAAGCUGGAUCCUUAACCCACUGACCAAGGCUAGGGACUGAACCCGAAUCCUCAUGGAUACUAGUCAGAUUCAUUUCCACUGCACCACAAUGGGAAAUCCCAAAUAUUCUUUCAGAUAUGAUUUUUAAUGGCCACCUAAUAGUCCAACAUAGUGAUGGACAAAAAUUAUUUAGCUAAUCCUAUACUGUUUCCAUUUGGGUUGUUAACAAUUUUAAAUUUUUUUUUUUUUUGCUAGGUUCAAUUAUGCUGCCAUGAACUCUUUGUUUUAGUUGCAUAUAACAGAAAAUCCAGUUCAGAUGGACUUAAGCCAAGG